rnacentral:rRNA from 1 species
UGGGGAAUUGUUCACAAUGGGCGCAAGCCUGAUGACGCAACGCCGCGUGGGGGAUGAAGGUCUUCGGAUUGUAAACCCCUGUCGAAUGGGACGAAUGGCCUCUGGGCUAAUCACCAGAGGAAUGACGGUACCGUUAAAGGAAGCCACGGCUAACUCUGUGCCAGCAGCCGCGGUAAUACAGAGGUGGCAAGCGUUGUUCGGAAUUACUGGGCGUAAAGGGCGCGUAGGCGGCCAUCUAAGUCAGACGUGAAAUCCCCCGGCUUAACCUGGGAACUGCGUCUGAUACUGGAAGGCUCGAGUUUGGGAGAGGGAUGUAGAAUUCCAGGUGUAGCGGUGAAAUGCGUAGAUAUCUGGAGGAAUACCGGUGGCGAAGGCGGCAUCCUGGACCAACACUGACGCUGAGGCGCGAAAGCUAGGGGAGCAAACGGG